GGGGAAUAUUGCGCAAUGGGGGAAACCCUGACGCAGCGACGCCGCGUGUGGGAAGAAGGCCUUCGGGUCGUAAACCACUGUCAAGAGGGAAGAACCGCAUGGAUUCGAAUAGGGUCCGUGCCUGACGGUACCUCUGGAGGAAGCACCGGCUAACUCCGUGCCAGCAGCCGCGGUAAUACGGAGGGUGCAAGCGUUAAUCGGAAUCACUGGGCGUAAAGCGCACGUAGGCUGUUUUGCAAGUCAGGUGUGAAAGCCCUCGGCUCAACCGAGGAAUUGCACUUGAAACUGCAGGACUAGAGUACUGGAGAGGGUGGCGGAAUUCCCGGUGUAGGAGUGAAAUCCGUAGAUAUCGGGAGGAACACCAGUGGCGAAGGCGGCCACCUGGACAGAUACUGACGCUGAGGUGCGAAAGCGUGGGGAGCAAAC
rnacentral:rRNA from 1 species